UCUAUUAUUGUAUAAUAAUUAAAGUAAGCAAAUUGAAUGGUGGCGGCUAAUCUCAAAAAAAUGGGGUGAUGCCUAUGAUUUUGGUUUUUACUCCUAGAGAGGAGUAGCAUGACUGAUUAUGAAAUGCUGAUGGUCGUUUUAACGAUUAUUGGCUUAAUAUUAAUUAGUAGUAAGCAAAA
rnacentral:sRNA from 1 species